UACGGGGGAUGCAAGCGUUAUCCGGAAUUAUUGGGCGUAAAGCGUCCGCAGGUGGUUGUGCAAGUCUGCUGUUAAAAUCGUGGGGGCUUAACUCCAUAACGGCGGUGGAAACUGCACAACUUGAGUUUGGUAGGGGUCACGGGAAUUCCCAGUGUAGCGGUGAAAUGCGUAGAUAUUGGGAGGAACACCAAUGGCGAAGGCAGCUCGCUGGGACGUUACUGACGCUGAGACGCGAAAGCGUGGGGAGCAAACAGG
rnacentral:rRNA from 1 species